rnacentral:rRNA from 1 species
AGAACUUAGCAGAGAUGCUUUGGUGCCCUUUCGGGAACUCUGAGACAGGUGCUGCAUGGCUGUCGUCAGCUCGUGUUGUGAAAUGUUGGUUAAGUCCCGCAACGAGCGCAACCCUUAUCCUUUGUUGCCAGCGAUUCGGUCGGGAACUCAAAGGAGACUGCCGGUGAUAAACCGGAGGAAGGUGGGGAUGACGUCAAGUCAUCAUGGCCCUUACGGCCAGGGCUACACACGUGCUACAAUGGCGCAUACAAAGAGAAGCGACCUCGCGAGAGCAAGCGGACCUCAUAAAGUGCGUCGUAGUCCGGAUUGGAGUCUGCAACUCGACUCCAUGAAGUCGGAAUCGCUAGUAAUCGUAGAUCAGAAUGCUACGGUGAAUACGUUCCCGGGCCUUGUACACACCGCCCGUCACACCAUGGGAGUGGGUUGCAAAAGAAGUAGAUAGCUUAACCUUCGGGAGGGCGCUUACCACUUUGUGAUUCAUGACUGGGGUGAAGUCGUAACAAGGUAGGCGUAGUGCU